UACGAAGGGGGCAAGCGUUGUUCGGAAUCACUGGGCGUAAAGAGCGCGUAGGCGGCCAGAUCAGUCAGGGGUGAAAUCCCGGGGCUCAACCCCGGAACUGCCUUUGAUACUGUUUGGCUAGAAUCCGUGAGAGGGUGGUGGAAUUCCCGGUGUAGAGGUGAAAUUCGUAGAUAUUGGGAGGAACACCAGUGGCGAAGGCGGCCACCUGGUGCGGUAUUGACGCUGAGGCGCGAAAGCGUGGGGAGCAAACAGG
rnacentral:rRNA from 1 species